rnacentral:rRNA from 1 species
AUCGUUCGACUGCUUCUAAUCUUAACGACUCUCGGCAACGGAUAUCUCGGCUCUCGCAUCGAUGAAGAACGUAGCGAAAUGCGAUACUUGGUGUGAAUUGCAGAAUCCCGUGAACCAUCGAGUCUUUGAACGCAAGUUGCGCCCGAAGCCGUCAGGUUGA